AAUUUAUUUACUAUAUAUAAAACGUCGGUUAACUGUUCAUAAGCCGUUUACUGUUUAUAUCCGAGCCAAAUUCUCGGGAAGCCUCCAUCCAUAUAAACAGCAAAGCCGAUCUGUACUCUUCGGGAAGCCUCCAUCCAAAUCAAGGUUCCACUGUUAACUGACAACUUCAGAGUCGGUGAUCAAGAACAAGAACAGUGACAACUUGUCAACAUCAAAGUCCAAGCAAUCAAUUGGAAAAAACGAGGAUGGGUCACUUUCAGUUUUUUUUUUUUUUUUUUUUCUUUUCUGCAGAAGCUAGAUAGCAUCACGAUCACAUUCGACGAGCCUCAAGACGAGCUCGAGUCCACUUUAUCCAACGCUAUUUACAAUCUAGAGACGUCGAUGAUUAAGAAGAAGAACGACUGAGAGAGAGAGAGAGAGAGAAAUAGCGUGUGUUUGUUUGGUUUGUACGAAUAGAUAGACCGAUCAAAGGGAAAUUCUCUGCUCAUCAUCUGAAUACGGGGUCAUCAAAACCCAAUUUUCAUCUUAUUUUUUGAGAUUUCGUUCCCACCUUUACUUCUUUUCUGAUUCAUUUUUUUCUUAUAUUGCUUUUGCAGGGAAGUUUGAGUAUCUUAGAGGCAAAGGUUGCGAAUUUGUAGGUAAUUGGGUUUUGAUAAUGUUAUGGGCUCAAGCAGGGUUGAUGAGGAUGCUGAACCUGUUUUAAAAUAUGGACACAGAUUGACCGAAUGGGGAGAAAUGAUACAGCUGUGGAAGAGGAAGUUAGAUAUCAGUUUAGUAUUGUCAUUUGCACUACAGGAAAUCAUUCAUACAAGACAAUGCUCAGAGAGAUUCACCCUUAAUAUUUGAACUCGAGGCUACUUUGAAAUGGCAAGGCUCCUUUGCAGGUGGAAUUAGCAAGAAAUUUUUUUAAAGGAUGAAAGACCUGUAGAUUUGGAAGGUACUUGGAUGAGCCAGUCAGAAUUGUCAGGAAGCUGUUGCAGCCUGGGGUCUAUCUGAAAUUGAUUGAUUUGAGUCUUGAAGGGGGGGACUGGAACCAAUCAACUUAGCGGUUGAAAAUGAAAUCCAUCGUCCAGUUUGUGGUCGAGCUGGAAGUGUUAAUGCCAUAGGAAAUUAUGCUCCGACUUACAUUCCAGGAGUCCUAGCUGACCGUGAAUGAGCUUAAAGGUUUAGACCAAUUGAUGUGAAAUUGGCAAGAUUUUUAGUACUUUUGCAGGGAUUUUCUUCUUGAAUUGUUCCCCACAAUGUCGUAACCACCAACCUAAGCGCUCACUUAUUGACUGACUUCAACUGAAUCAUAUCAUUCACGAGGCAUCAGGCAAGCUAUGGUGCUGCAUUUCCUGACUCCCCACAUUUCUUGGUAAGUAUUAACACUUGCUCUAUCAUUUUUGGUAAGAAGAAGAGAAAAGCUGAUGCAUGUAGGACAUGGAUUCCACUUAUGGGACUAAGAUUGGUACAACUUUAAAAAUGGCAAUGAUGCACUGAACCUCAGGAGUGAUCCAAGAUUUUGGUCAAUUUUUGGAAGAAGUGGCUGCUAAAUUUCAAUUAUCUAAAAUUCUGCUCUUUACUGAGUUUUUUCUUUCUACUUAUUGUGUAUUAGUACAUUAACAUGUGAAUGAAAAUAAUUUGGCUUUAAGUUUCAAUUUGAAUGGAGAUCAAACGAAUGACAUCCCCUGUUA